rnacentral:rRNA from 1 species
ACUCAGCAAUGCCGCGUGAGUGAUGAAGGCCUUAGGGUUGUAAAGCUCUUUUACCAGGGAUGAUAAUGACAGUACCUGGAGAAUAAGCUCCGGCUAACUCCGUGCCAGCAGCCGCGGUAAUACGGAGGGAGCUAGCGUUGUUCGGAAUUACUGGGCGUAAAGAGUACGUAGGCGGUUAUUCAAGUCAGAGGUGAAAGCCUGGAGCUCAACUCCAGAACUGCCUUUGAAACUAGAUAGCUAGAAUCUUGGAGAGGUGAGUGGAAUUCCGAGUGUAGAGGUGAAAUUCGUAGAUAUUCGGAAGAACACCAGUGGCGAAGGCGACUCACUGGACAAGUAUUGACGCUGAGGUACGAAAGCGUGGGGAGCAAACAGGAUUAGAUACCCUGGUAGUCCACGCCGUAAACGAUGAUAACUAGCUGUUCGGGCUCUACGAGCUUGAGUGGCGCASUAACGCAUUAAGUUAUCCGCCUGGGGAGUACGGUCGCAAGAUUA